AGUGAACGCUGGCGGUAGGCCUAACACAUGCAAGUCGAACGGCAGCACAGUAAGAGCUUGCUCUUACGGGUGGCGAGUGGCGGACGGGUGAGGAAUACAUCGGAAUCUACUUUUUCGUGGGGGAUAACGUAGGGAAACUUACGCUAAUACCGCAUACGACCUACGGUUGAAAGCAGGGGAUCUUCGGACCUUGCGCGAUUGAAUGAGCCGAUGUCGGAUUAGCUAGUUGGCGGGGUAAAGGCCCACCAAGGCGACGAUCCGUAGCUGAUCUGAGAGGAUGAUCAGCCACACUGGAACUGAGACACGGUCCAGACUCCUACGGGAGGCAGCAGUGGGGAAUAUUGGACAAUGGGCGCAAGCCUGAUCCAGCCAUACCGCGUGGGUGAAGAAGGCCUUCGGGUUGUAAAGCCCUUUUGUUGGGAAAGAAAAGCAGCAGGUUAAUACCCCGCUGUUCUGACGGUACCCAAAGAAUAAGCACCGGCUAACUUCGUG
rnacentral:rRNA from 1 species